CACGAACCCGACGAACGUUAUUCGGAAUUAUUGGGCUUAAAGGGUGCGUAGGCGGUGCGGUAAGUGCGGUGUGAAAGCCCUCGGCUCAACCGAGGAAUUGCGCUGCAUACUGCCGUGCUGGAGGGAGACAGGGGUAAGCGGAACUGAUGGUGGAGCGGUGAAAUGCGUUGAUAUCAUCAGGAACACCGGUGGCGAAAGCGGCUUACUGGGUCUUCUCUGACGCUGAGGCACGAAAGCUAGGGUAGCGAACGGGAUUAGAAACCCCAGUAGUCC
rnacentral:rRNA from 1 species